rnacentral:rRNA from 1 species
AUGGCCGCCGCCGCGAAGCUCUCCGUCUCCAGCCAGGCCUUCGCGGCGCUCCUCGACUGCUGCGGGACCGCCGCCGGGGACUGCGACGGGCUACUCUUCGGCCGUGCCGCCCGCCCCCCGGCCCCUCCCCCUUCCCUCUCCGACGACGACGACUCCGGCGCCACCUCCUCCGCCCCAACCCUAUCCAUCAACGUCACCGGCCACGCCUCGCUCGCCCGACCCUCCUCCCUCUCCGACGCCCUCGGCCGCUUCCAGCCCUACUCCCCCGCCCGCCCAGCCACCGUGGGCUUCUUCUCCUCCCGNNNNNNNNNNNNNNNNNNNNNNNNNNNNNNNNAGGUCGCCGUCGCCCGCUCCCUGUCUAAAUCAUUGGCCCUCACCCACCCCCUCGUGUUUCUGCUCGUAGCCCCCUCCGCCUCCUCCAACCUCUCCAUCCACUCGUUCGACUACCGCGCCUUCCUCCUUGUGGAUUCCCGCCUCUUCCCCACCUCCCUCCAGGUCGUCAACGUGGGUCCUGGUUUCCGGGGCCAGUACCACACCUUCGCGGCGGAGUCGCCAAUGCCGUGGCUGCCGCGUCCGCCGGCAAAGGGCUUCAGCAUCAGAGACCAGAAGGCGAUGGAUGGGAUGAUUGAUGCGUUCGGGCUGGGAAGGGUGGAGGCCUUGGUGGCCUCGGCCACGGGGCAAUCAACCGAGGUGGAGGAGAUGUAUUCCGGGAUGCUAAGGAGGCUGGAGAGGCUUGCUCGGGAGGCGGAGGGGGGAAGGAAGCUGGUGCGCCGUCAGGAAAACAAGAACUUAUUGGCAAAGAUAAAAAUUGCCGGGUUGAAGUAA